GAUGCAAUUCUCCAUCGUUCCCAGGAUCACGACCCAUCGUCCCAACUCCCAAGCCACGCCUCUCUGUCCCAUCCUACGGAGUACAGACUACAGACCGACCGCAUCUCUCUCCUCCCCCGUUCCAUCUAGAGCAGCGCGCUGCCGGCCUGCCGUCUCCUUCCCUGUCUCGGCCAGCACCGCACGCUGCCCUCCUCCUCCUUGCAGGCCACCAUCGGACGCUUCCGCCUUCCCCGUCACAGGCAGCGUCGGGCGCACCGUCUCCUCACCGUCGCGGCCAGCAUCGAGCGCCGCCGCCUCCUCCCAUCACGGCCAGCAUCUGGUGUCUCUGCAUCUUCCCCAUCACGGCCAGCUUCCGGCGCCGCCGCCCCUCCCUGUCCCGCUUUGUAAUCGGCGAUCCCUGCUCUACCCGUUGGUCCCACAGGAAAUUAAUCAGUCCUCCUAUCGAUGGAGGUCCUCGUAGCCGUGUUCAAGCACCAGCAGUCCGGCGAGACCUAAUUAAUCAAUCCUCCCUCGAUGGGGAAUCGUGCACAGAAGAACGGAGUUCGGUACCAACUCGUUCCGUUUCCCCCUGGGCGGGAGGAAGGGUUGGAGGUUGAGGAGAGGCGGUCGGUUGCGGAAGAAUCCAGGAUAGACAAGGGGAGGAAGGAAACAGGACGGACAAAACGUUAUUUUUUACUUGGCGGUGGCAGACCAUGUAAUUUGGACGAAAAAUCAGGGGCUCAAAUGAUUCCUGGAGCUUUUGAUGGUACUGGUACAACUAUGCAUCAUAGGGUGCAGCUUUAUUCAGGUCCGAUGUCAACAUUUUAAAUGUUGAUGUUUUGUCGGAUGGCAAAAUUUGAGCAUGUACUUUUUGUGUGAAUAAUUUGAGGAGGUACUGAUUGUGGAAGAUGAAAAUGGCAAUAUUUGUCGGAUAGGAAUAUGACACAAUGGAAGAUAAUGAUGUCCUUGUCAAGUAUAUAAGAUCAUGGGGGAAACACUUACCUGUUUGUGUCAUCUAGAUCAUGAGGAUACAUCACAACAUUUAUGUAUUUCACGAUUUCAAGGUCAUUUUGUUGUAUAUGCAGAAAUAAUGCACCAAAUAUUAUACACUAUAUGACGACUAUUGUUACCAGUGGAAUUUUUGUAGCAGUGUUGUGGGCUCGCAGCAAUUAUGUGACUGUUGUGGUUAUGAAUUUAGCUGCUACUCUCGAGCUAAGGGUAGAAAAUAAGAAAGAUUCCACGUGGCCUCUCUGGUUUCAGCGGUGUUAGGAGAGCAUUCAGUUGUGAAAACCGAUUCUCCUGGUUCUAGAUGGCAUUCAUGCUUAACAGGGAGUCUCCUCCUACCUCCCCUGCUGCCCUGAGAUGUUUGUCUCCACGGUGCCGGGUAGUGCUGCGGCGGCGAUUGGCUAGAGUGCGGGUGUUGUCGCCUAGAAGUAUUCCGACGGUGAUCGGCGUGUGGGAGUGUCUCCGGCGGCGAUUGGCGGGCGGGCACGCUAUCACGCUGGAGUGCUUCGGCGGCGAUCGUGGGCUGGCAAGCGGGAGUGUUGCGGCGGUGAUCGUGGUUGCUGGCGAGCGGGAGUGUUGCGGCGGCAAUUGUUGUUGGCGAGCGGGAGCGGGAGGACUGCGGUGGCGAUCGUGGCUUGAUACGUCCAAUUUGCAUCACUAUUUUAUAUCAUAAUUUGUUGUUAUUCAUUGAUAUAUUUCAUAUUUGGAGAUGAUACUUAUGUUAUUUCAUCUAUUUUGCAUGAUUCAUGAUUAUUGGAUGAUCGCGCACCGGAGUCAGGAUUCUGCUGGAAAAAGCACCAUCAAAAUGCAAUAUUUCGGAAGAUCAACAAUUGACGAAAGUUAUAUGAAAAAUCCUAUUUUUCCAGAAGAUGAUGAGAGCCAGAAGGAGGAGCCGAGGAGGGCCACCAUGGGCCCCCCUCACAGGCCGGCGCGGGCCCUUGCCCUGGCCGCACCGCCUUGUGGGGAGGGGGCCCACAGCCCCCUCUGGCCUCCUCUCCUUCGCGUAUUUCUUCGUCCCGAAAACCUAAGCUCCAGGAAGUAAGUCGCGAAGAGUCACAGCUGCCUCUGCGGGGCGGAGAACACCAGAGAGAAAAGAGCUCUCCGGCAGGCUGAGAUCUGCCGGGGAAAUUCCCUCCCGGAGGGGGAAAUCGACGCCAUCGUCACCGCCAUCGAGCUGGACAUCAUCUCCAUCACCAUCAUCACCAUCUCCAUCAUCAUCACCGCCGUCUCCACCGCUGCACAUCGUCACCGCUGUAUCAAUUUGGGUUUGAUCUUGAUUGUUUGAUAGGGGAAACUCUCCCGGUGUUGAUUUCUACUUGUUAUUGAUGCUAUUGAGUGAAACCGUUGGACCAA